rnacentral:rRNA from 1 species
AUGGCCAGAGGGCCAAUUUACAUCUGGAAUGAGUGGGCAACACAAAUCCUCGUCCUACUUAGCUUUGCACUGCAGAUCUUCCUCUUUGUCUUCGCUAGGACCCGUCGAUGUGGAUCUUCCCCCUUGCUGAGGUUCCUCCUUUGGCUGGUCUACCUCAUGGCCGAUUCGACUGCUAUCUACACACUCGGGCAUCUUUCCAUCAAUGGCAUAUUGCACGAGCACGAGCUGGUGGUGUUCUGGGCGCCAUUCUUGGUCGUGCAUCUUGGUAGCCAAGACACCAUCACCGCCUACGCCCUCGAGGACAACCAGCUUUGGCCGCGCCAUCUGCUAAAUCUUGGCGUCCAAGCCUUUGGGGUUGCUUAUAUCCUAUACAAGCAUAUUGGACAUAUCUCCACCUCAUUGGGAUUGGCUACUUGCUUGAUAUUUGUCAUUGGUCUCAUCAAGUAUGGGGAGAGAAUAUGGGCUCUAAAGUGCGCCACCAUGGACGACAUCCGAAGCUCUAUCAAGAAGUGUGGGCUUCUCCCUACUUACUAUGGUGAUCUUCCGCCGCCCUCGGGAGCGAGCGCAGAAGAGCGGGACGAAGAAGAGCUUUUGUUGUUUGCCCAAGCCAUGCUCCCUCUUUGCAAGGGUGGGAUUAUUAAUUUUCCUGUGGUUUUAAUUUCUCAUCCACAUAAUUCUUCUUCCAACUUGAGCUGGUGUUGGAACUGGAACUGGAAGGCCACCUUUAAAGUGGUGGAGAUGGAGCUCUCCCUCAUGUAUGACAUCCUCUACACCAAGGCUGCAAUCAUCCACAGCUGGUAUGGCUACUGCAUCCGUGUCUUCUUGCCGUUCGGGACCGUUGCGGCAUUUGUAUUGUUUCAAGUAAGUGGUGAUAAAGACGGUUGCAGCAGAAUCGAUGUUGCUAUCACUUACAUCUUGUUGAUAGGUGCCUUCCUCCUAGACAUGUCGUCAAUGUUGAGUGCUUUGGUGUCGACUUGGACAUGUGGUUUCUUUUGGACUAGAAAUUGGAGGCUUGGUUGUGUCAUCAUGUCUCUCCGUCGGUAUUUCAAGGCUGCUACAGGAAAUAGAGGGUGGUCAGGCUCCAUUGGGCAGUUUAACUUGAUGCAUUUCUGCUCUCGUGACAAGAGCAAGCUAAGCAUUAGAGUGUCCAAGAUGAUGAGACUCGAGGAUAUGUGGAACAAAAGGCAUUAUUCUAAGACCCUAGUGAUCUCAGAGGAUGUCGAGGAGUUGGUGUUCAAGCAUGUAUGGCAACUAGUGAAGAAGAUUCAGCAUCCAAGAGCAGAAGAUGUGGAGGAGCCCAAGGCAAUGAUGCCAUCGAUUUCCGAACGCCUGGGCUUUCGUCCUGAAUUAUAUGAUGAUACUGCCAGGAGGCGUAAGAAAUUUGAUGAUGCUCUCUGCUUGAGCGAUGAACUCCAAGAGGUGAUCCUUACAUGGCACGUCUUUACAAAUGUUUUCAUCUUGUGCAGUGUUGCCCCUAAGGAUGCAUCAUUAUUUGCAUAUCUAAAGGCGGUCAAGGCGUUGUCAGAUUAUAUGGUGUUCCUCAUCGUUGUACGCCCUGACACCAUACCUGGUAUCGAGCUACGAAGCCUGUACGAAGCAACCCGUGACGCUCUCGAGGAAAUAUGGCGUACCAAUACCUAUGCAAUAAAAGAGAAGAAUCUUGCCAGCAUCCUGCAAAACAGUAAACAUAGUGAUCUUGGGAAGGCGAGCGUCAUCAUCUCGCACGGAACUUUGUAUGCCAAGCUACUGAUGGAUUUGGUAGAUACAAGCAAUCGCGACAAGUCCGGUGUCAUAUCGUCUUAUGAAGAUAUUGAUCAUGUCGCCAUGGGUAAACUGAAGCAUCUAAUGCUAGACCUGGAAUCCUCAUGCAAAGUUGGUGUCGUGUUUGAUAUGGCCAAAGCGUUGGCGCUCAUCUUGGAUACAUGGGUGCGUCUGCUCGUCUUGGCUUCCGUACGAUCCAGCGGCGAUGCCCAUGCAAGACAGAUCAACCGUGGAGGCGAGCUCACGACCGUUGUCUGGCUCAUGGAGGAACAUGCCAGCGUGUUUUUCAACCCACCCACCGCGGCCGGCUACGAGCGAUAUCGGUCUGAAGGCCGGUUCCAAUGGUACCGAUGCAGUGAUAUAUGCCGUCUCAAGCGUUCCAAUGGUGACAUGGAACAUUAG